GCCGUAUUAAGACAUGGAACUUUAUCAUAAGGGCAAUGAGAAGUAAAUGAAAGAUUCUGAGCAAAGAAAAAUAUGGCCUUUGAGGUUAUCAUCUCAUCAAAUCUUCACAACAACCCUGCAUACUAUGAAAUUCUUGAUGACAGAGACUCAGUAUUAUUCAUCUUUCUGGCCUCAAGACUAAUAUACUGACCCUGAAAGAAAUAGGUACUCAAUUAAUAUUUGCUGGGCCUGCUCUCUUCUUUCCUCUGUGGAUAUUCUUUAGAAGACUUGGCACUGACAAAUCCCCCCACCCCAAGCUUCAGGUGGUCUGUGCCCUCCUGUUGGCCCAGUUUCUUCCCAGCGUUGUUCCUGAUUGAGACUGUAUGCUGGGUUUUGGAAAGCCCUGCUUUUUGUUAAUUGUUCAAACAAACCCUCUCUAAUAGCA
rnacentral:lncRNA from 1 species